CUUUCAGUUGGGUCAUGUUUAGACAUUUCUCUUUUUUAUCUCGUUGGUCAUUAAUUUCAAGGAUGGAUGUCUCAAGUUGGGUCAUAUUUUGGUGUUCAACCUUGACCGCUUGUUGGAUCGCAUUGUCUUGGGUGGAUUUUUCUUCCUCAACCAACGUGAGAGUUUCAAUAGGAAAGUCAAUUUGAGUUUUCAGCUCUAAGGCCGACUCGUC
rnacentral:lncRNA from 1 species